CAUGGAAUGAACAAUGGUGGGCAUCCAUACAUCCAAGUGUACAGACAGGUUUUUCCUAUAGUAGUUGGUGUUGUUUGGUACAGAAGGGCUAACAACUAACCAUAUGACUUGAGUAAGGACCAACCAAUGGGUGAAUGGAUAUGUGGAUGGUUUAUGCAUGGGUGGAAAGGGGAUGCAGUAGAAGAGAAUGCUUCUGGCAUGGGCUCUAGGAAGUUUACUGAAAUGUAUACUGAAAUGUUGAUGUAUAUAGUUCAUCCUGAUCCUUUCCAACCUCUCAUCCCCAAGAUGACCAAACUAUUCAACAUAAACUGCUUCUUGCUGCUCUCAAAUACUUCCAGGGCUUCUCUGGUCCUCAUGAAGCACCUGUUUGCUCACAACUUCUUCCUCACAUGCAAGCUGUAUGGGUCCUGUGACCCUAUCAGACCCCUCAGAAGACACUGACUAUUCUGGGCUGAGAUUUUCCAUGGGAGAACCCUAGGACUGGAGAUGGGGCAGUGGGCUUAGGUGAGGUGAUAUCAAACAAGCUUGGGCUUGGUGUCGCUUCCAUUCCAGUGCUGGACACAGCCUUGGCCAGGUGCUGUGGGGGUCCCAGAUGCAUGGGGCCUUGGAAACUUCUGAAAGGGCGUGGAGCUCUCCACUCAGCCUGCUGGAGGAGGAUGGGGGUGAAAGCAACAGAUGUGCUCAAGGUUUUGUUUUCGGUUCCCCAAAGGGUCUUCUCUUUGACCAAAGCAGUGUGACCGUUGCUAUGACAGUUGCUAUCUUGGUCUCUGGGACUCUCCCACACAAGGUAGCGUUACUAUUUUUAAUCUUCUUGGGCCAGUCACCAUGAAACUCAGUAAUAAUCAAACUGGGGUGGGGAUGGCUGUGGGCAUGUUUGGGGCCUGAGUAGUGGAAUGUGAUGGUAGAAGAUGUUGGGGUACCAAGAGGGAUCUUUGGUCAAUUAAGUUAUUUUUCCAAACUAGACUAACACUCCUUCUAGUUGUCUUAGGCUUGGUUGACCAUCCAUUUUUGCAGAGGUUCAUGGGUUCUUCCCCUGAGAUGUUUACAUUUUUUAGCUCAUUAUUGCACCUAGUAAAAACAUAACAGAUAGAAAGAAUGUUGACCUCAAAUUUCAAAUCUGUGUCUAUGUGAUCAGGCCAAGUCAUUCAAUCUCUGCUCUGGAGUCUCCACAGCUGUUAAAUGAGAGAUUUUAUUUCCAAGCUCCUUUCUCACUCUAAGAUUCACUGACACUUUGCCCCUGAAAAUGGCGACCAUGAGUAGUAGUUCUUGAGGAACCAGCACUGUGUUUUAGAGUGAGGGCUGCCUUGACAGGCUGCCUGAGUUUGAAUCCUGGUUUUGGGACUUAUUGAUUGUGUGAUCUUGGAUGUGGUAUUUAUUCUCUUUAAGUCUUAGUUUCCUUAUCUGUAUAAAGGGAGGUAAUACAAGCUAGCCCAGGAGGGAUAGUGACAUGGAGGAUUCAGCCACAGGAUGCUUGUCAGUGUUGAGACAUUGUAUCCAUUACUCCUAUCAUAGAAUAAAAACUUGUUACAAGUUGAUAUGUGCUGAGCUGCCAGCAAUUUCAUAGAGGGUCUCCUCCAUGCCUAUGUGUUUCUUAUUUUUAUCAUCAAUGUUUUAUAGCUGUGUCAUAGGUUGGGGGCUCUUUCUCAUUUGUUCUUGAAGCCAUGAUGAAAUAAAAGCUUGUGUAUUUUAUUGAGAAGGAGUUAUAGAGAGGAAAGCCCUUAUUCACCAUCCAGUCCGACUUUCUUGUUUUAAAGUUUUAAAGGAGCUGACUGAGGCCAACUGUCACUAUUACAAACCAACUUUAAGGAACUUACCAUGUGCAAUGGGCUUGACAACUCUGAUUUAAGUCAUGAUUCUGCCUCUUAAUAGCUUCGUAGUUUUUAAUGUGUUGCAUAACCUUUUUUAGCCUCGGUUUCUUCAUCUAUGAAAUGGACUAAUGCAAGACACUUCAGCGUGUGGUGUGAGGGUCAAAGUGGGUCAUAGAGUUGCUGGCAGAUGUCUCCCUACUUCAUUGCCUUCUCCUCUCUGCCAUCUCUUUUUUUACUGUGUGCCGAGAACUUUGCAGCUUCAGGGACACACAAAAAGUUCCGGCCAGAGUUGGGAGAUAGAAUCUUCUCAUAAAGAGAGAAAUAAGUUCAUGGUAGGGGUAGUAAGGGCUGUUCGAAUCCUGAGAAGAGAUUGGCAGGUGGAUGGAGGAAAGGAUAAGAGGUGCUGGGGAGAGACGGGGAAGAGGGAAAGAGAGAGAGAGAGAGAAGGGAGGACAUCGUGUGUCCAGGAUCAAUGGAGAUGGGGCAAGGGGAAUGGGAAAGAGGAGAGGGAGGGUGGCAGGUGGGGCAAGACAUCAGAGAAGCAAGAUGUCUCUGAACAGCAGGGGUGUCUAUGGGGGGCAUCUUUUCAGGGAAGGAGUCAGCAAGUGGAGCCCUAGGGAGAAGAACUGGCAGGUGACCCUUAUAGCCAGUUGUCCACCUGACGUCUCUACCUGGUUGUCUGACAGGCAUCUCAGACUUAAAGUGUCCAACACAGAGCUCCUGAAGCUUCAGUAGUCAAGGCAAGGUCUAUUGGCAAUAUGAUGGCAAAAGACAUCAGUGGAAUGAGUCAAAAGGUUGCACUUAAGGACCUCGAAGGCCACAUGUGGCUGUGAGCCAACAGGUUCCCCACCCCGUUCUUGGCUGUAUGCAGAAGGCUUAGAAACAAGGUCCCUGUGGAGCACAACCCUACUACGUCUUGACUUCAGAAUGGCAAAAUGGAAUAAGAACAUGGAAAGAACACAAAAUUAGUAGUCAAGAGACUGGUUUUGGCCUCAGUUCUGCUAUGAAC